AUACGUAGGGGGCGAGCGUUAUCCGGAUUUAUUGGGCGUAAAGCGUGUGUAGGCGGUUUAUUAAGUUUAAGAUUAAAGCCCCGAGGCUCAACCUCGGUUCGUCUUAAAAACUGAUAGACUUGAGUGUGGUAGAGGCAAGUGGAAUUUCUAGUGUAGCGGUUAAAUGCGUAGAUAUUAGAAGGAACACCAGUGGCGAAGGCGGCUUGCUGGGCCAUUACUGACGCUGAUGCACGAAAGCGUGGGGAGC
rnacentral:rRNA from 1 species